UGGGGAAUUUUGCACAAUGGGGGAAACCCUGAUGCAGCGACGCCGCGUGAUUUAGAAGGCCUUCGUGUUGUAAAAAUCUUUUGUAUGGGAAGAAAAUGACAGUACCAUACGAAUAAGGACCGGCUAAUUACGUGCCAGCAGCCGCGGUAAUACGUAAGGUCCGAGCGUUGUCCGGAAUCAUUGGGCGUAAAGGGUACGUAGGCGGAUAAGCAAGUUAGAAGUGAAAUCCUAUAGCUCAACUAUAGUAAGCUUUUAAAACUGCUCAUCUUGAGGUAUGGAAGGGAAAGUGGAAUUCCUAGUGUAGCGGUGAAAUGCGCAGAUAUUAGGAGGAAUACCGGUGGCGAAGGCGACUUUCUGGCCAUAAACUGACGCUGAGGUACGAAAGCGUGGGUAGCAAACAGG
rnacentral:rRNA from 1 species